AAUGGGGGAAACCCUGAUGCAGCGAUGCCGCGUGAGUGAAGAAGGCCUUUGGGUUGUAAAACUCUUUCGUCGGGGAAGAAAAUGACUGUACCCGAAUAAGAAGGUCCGGCUAACUUCGUGCCAGCAGCCGCGGUAAUACGAAGGGACCUAGCGUAGUUCGGAAUUACUGGGCUUAAAGAGCUCGUAGGUGGUUAAAAAAGUUGAUGGUGAAAUCCCAAGGCUCAACCCUGGAACUGCCAUCAAAACUUUUUAGCUAGAGUGUGAUAGAGGUAAGUGGAAUUUCUAGUGUAGAGGUGAAAUUCGUAGAUAUUAGAAAGAACACCAAAAGCGAAGGCAACUUACUGGAUCACUACUGACACUGAGGAGCGAAAGCAUGGGUAGCGAAGAGGAUU
rnacentral:rRNA from 1 species